rnacentral:rRNA from 1 species
AGUGAACGCUGGCGGUAGGCCUAACACAUGCAAGUCGAACGGCAGCACAGUAAGAGCUUGCUCUUACGGGUGGCGAGUGGCGGACGGGUGAGGAAUACAUCGGAAUCUACUUUUUCGUGGGGGAUAACGUAGGGAAACUUACGCUAAUACCGCAUACGACCUACGGGUGAAAGCAGGGGAUCUUCGGACCUUGCGCGAUUGAAUGAGCCGAUGUCGGAUUAGCUAGUUGGCGGGGUAAAGGCCCACCAAGGCGACGAUCCGUAGCUGGUCUGAGAGGAUGAUCAGCACAACGGGAACUGAGACACGGCCCAAACUCCUAGGGGAGGCAGCAGUGGGGAAUUUUGGAAAAGGGGGGAAAGCCUGAACCAGCCAUCCCGGGGGGGGGAAGAAGGCCUUGGGGUUGUAAAGCCCUUUUGUUGGGAAAGAAAAGAAGCAGGUUAAUACCCCGCUGUUCUGACGGUACCCAAAGAAAAAGCACCGGCUAACUUGGU